ACGCGCUGCCUUUGAGCCCCCGCCGCGCCUGCACGUGGCCGCGGGGGUCUAGCUGCGGCGCCACAGUUCGCGCUCGCGCAUAACUGGGGCCGCUUGGCACGCCGCGGGCGGCCCCUUUAACCGCGAGCCACAUCG
ensembl:snoRNA